AUCUAGGUGUGACAACCCACGGUGAUGAGAGAUUUAGAGCCAAUCUCUACUGAGUGCUGAUGUGGGGCUGAUGUGGACUCUAGGAGGCUUUGUGGGUAACCUUCAUAUCAGAACAUAGACACCUUGUCAUUCUUGUUGUACGGUAUAUAAUUGCAUAUCUGGCCGUUUCUCUUUCUGAGCGAAGUGCAUAGCCAGGUGUGCUGCUCAAAGUUUUGCCAACUGAAAGGAUUUCCCUUCACCACUGUCUUUCAGGGAUGUCCCAGAGAGGAUUACAGUUGUGAUAUUGUACUAUGGGUUUGUGUUAGUCAGCUCAGGAUGCUAAAACAAAAUACCAUAGUCUGAAUGGCUUCAGCAACAGAUGUUUAUUUCUCACAGUUAUGG
rnacentral:lncRNA from 1 species